rnacentral:rRNA from 1 species
UACGAAGGGGGCUAGCGUUGCUCGGAAUCACUGGGCGUAAAGGGUGCGUAGGCGGGGCUUUAAGUCAGGGGUGAGAUCCUGGAGCUCAACUCCAGAACUGCCUUUGAUACUGAAGAUCUUGAGUUCGGGAGAGGUGAGUGGAACUGCGAGUGUAGAGGUGAAAUUCGUAGAUAUUCGCAAGAACACCAGUGGCGAAGGCGGCUCACUGGCCCGAUACUGACGCUGAGGCACGAAAGCGUGGGGAGCAAACAGG